GCCUAAUGGCGGAAGCUUUUGACUCCAAGUUCAACAUUAUUUAACGAUCGAACAUCAACAAAGCCUUACAGAUUGGUUACUCCAUAGUGAGAAUAAUUAGUCAAUGCAUCACUUUUCUUUCUAUACUUAUACUCGCGUAAUUAGUUUGCUUUAACCAUCAUCGAUCUCAAUUCCCUUCCAAAUUAACAGCAUACUAUAUUAUAGACUCCAAUUAAUAGAGAACAGAGGGGAACGGGUAAGACAACUUUCCACAUUAAAUAUACAUGUUAUUAUUAUAUAGAUAGAUAGAAACAAUACACACUGGUUUAAGUUCCUAGCUAAUUACGAUGAAUCUAAAUUAUGAACCAUGGUAACAAAUGAUGCAACAUGGCGAAUAAAAGCCAGUUGAAAAAAGAAAAAAAAAACCGCAACUGUGAAAGCAAAACUGUCAUAGAAUCACAAAGUCGGAAGGAUAAUCAAUCAGACAACUUGAUAGUUUUCCGUUAUCAGCUGUGUUCUCUGAGCAAAUUUGGGCGGAUUACCACCCUUUAGCGGAAUGAUGUUUGUAACCUACAAAGACAAGCCAAAAACAUUAAGUCAACUGUAGUCCAUCAUUGUACACUUGAAUGAAGUGAUAAUCGACACCUAAACAUGUAUAAUAUUUCCUUGCUAAAAAAUCUCUAGUUCAAUCAAUGCAUGCGUCAGUUUCAACCAGAUCAUAUCAAAAAAGCACUAUGCAUGUAUGCUCACAAAUAAAGUCAGAUGAAAAAAAAUAAAUCAUCAGACAAACCUUCAGGUCACUAAAUGUAUCAGUAGCUAUAAAACGAACUGAAAUGGGAAAGAAUGUUGAUGCUGCUUGAGGAACAACAAACUCCAAUGACCCACUGCCAAAUAUAUUAAGAUCAAACAACAAAUCUAAAAAUACAAAGAUCAAAAUCUAGCAUAAGUAAGCUCUAAGACAACCAUUCCAAUUUUAGCAUACCUGCGAUUUGAAUUAUCAAUCAGCAGGACAGACCACUCCAAAAUGGAAUUCCUAGAAUCAUACCUGCAAAGCCAAUUUUAUUAAGGAACUAUAAAGAGAGUAAGAAUUUAAUGUACAGACGUGGAGUAAAAUUAUUUACAACCAUAAUAAAAUAUUAAUGACUAAACUCGUGAUCUUAGGAGAGGAGGAGGAGUAGGAGAAGGGGAGGGGGAAGCAGUAUUAGUUACACAGAGCAUCAUAAUUCAUGCAAAUUUAGUCAGAUAAUUCAAGAUUGCAGACCAUUUACACGAGUAACAGAUAGUAUUAUUUCCAAUACAAAACGACUAGUUUAUUUACUGCAGACUUCAACAUGAAACGCAAAAAACAAGACUGUCCCCGACACUUAUUCAAAGGAAGAAAAAAAAAAUAAUUUCCACACCUCCAUUCCCCAUCAAUUUGACUAACAGAUGGAGCUUCUCGGAGAGCUGGAAAGGGUACUGAGAUCACAACAUUGCGCAGAUCAAACAUUGAUGAAGCCUCAUAUUCAAUGUUGACAUAAGUUUCAUUUCCAGAAGAAGAGGGCCAACAGUUGACUGCAUUAUACAUGUAUUGCACACAGUAAGUUAUAAAUACAUGAAAACAAAAUAGCAGCCAACAACAACGAAAUUUAGUUUGCCUUACUUGUCAGUGGCACCAUUGACUCAUCAGUGCUUUGCAUUCUCCACCUUAAAAGACCAACACCUCCGGCAUCACUGGCUUGACCAGUGGGGAAAGGCCUAUUUGGAUCCUUCAGACCUAAUAUAUUUUCAUUGGCAAAUAAUUCUUUAUUCAUGUUAGGAUGUGUCUUGAAAGAGACAGCUUGAUUCUCACCAGUCUGAACCUGCAAAAACAAGGCACAAUAUGUAAGUACAUCUCUUUUAAUUGUUCUCCUGAAUAGAUGUUUUCAUUCAAAACAAAUUUCAAGGCAUGAGUAAACCUAGGCUGGGAAUCUCAAGAGUCAAGACUGAAGGAUGGUAGGAGAAGACAAGUAUACAAAUAAUCCGAAGUAGUAUUUUAUUACAAAAAAAUGGGGAAAAUCUCCCUGGACUGCAACCUUCCUCCCGAUGGCCCCAAUUCUCUCACAAGAAAAUACUGAUUAGCACUAUUUGAGUCUUACAUUAAACACUAAAACAUAGGCUGGUUUUUAAACAUUACUCGUUUGAAAAUUAGCUCAUAAUUAACCUUCAAUAUUACUGACAACUGCAUUUACAGAGGAUGCAAACUUUGACAAGAGUAUAUGAGGCCUAAAUAAAGAAAACAGAAAAAAAAUUAAGCAAGACACAAGUUAUUACACUACUCAUGUCAAUAAAUAACUACUUAUCAAAAAAGACUGCUCAGGUUAUGCAAAGCAGCAGUCAAAUGGACACGCAUGGAGUUAGUUAGAGAUAGUGAGAAUGUAAUACCUGAACUUGAACAUGUCCAUCCUCUUUGUUAAGAAUUUGGAGAGACAAUGUUCCUUGAACAUCAAAAUUACUAAGACCACCAUCUCUUUUCAGUGUCACGUUUAGUUUCUCCUCCACAGUUAAAGUGAUGGGAUCGAUAAGUGGAGGGGCAGCUGACCGAGACGGGCCAAGUUUUGGCUGAUCAACUUCAAGAAUAACCUCACCUUCUGCUUUCAAUGAUUCCAAAAACUGGUUUGUCUUUUGAGAUUUACCAAGCUUCAUACCAAGGCCCUUUGGCAGAGCAGUGGCAGAUGCAGUUGGACGACCUAAGGAAGAGAAUAGGAGAGUAAAUAAAUAAAAAUGUUACUCUUUAUUCAGAAACAUGUUAAAUGAAAAGGUUACACUUUGGUUCAGCAAUCUCCCCCUUUUUGAUGGGGACAAGCAUAUGCAUUUUGAUGAACAAGUGCUGCCUGUAUAUUGCAUGCUUCGUUGCCAUUCUGAGUCAUUACAUUUAAAAGCAUUCUAGAAGAAUUUGUGGGAAUCUAUGAUAACCAACCUUUAGGCUUGGUAGAAAAGGAAUCAACAUCAGUGCUCGAUCCAAAACCAGAGCCACUUCCAAAACCAGUUCCGGUGCUAGAUAUGCUCAUGUCACUAAAGCUAUUUUCAAUUCUUCCAGAUCCCAUUGACGUUAAAGGACCAAAUCCUCCUUUAUCACCUCUAUUCUUUUCAAUCUGCACGAUAAUUGUAUUAAAUUCAAUUGAAAGUAAAAACAUAAAUAAAUAAAUAAAUAAAUAAAUAGUAGUCUCUCCAACCAAACCUUGCUCUUAUCAAUCUCACUUGCUUUCCGCUUCAUUAGAUCCUUAGUUUCAUUGACCUUGCUCUGCUGAACCAGCUUAUAAAGCUUCUCUUCAUGACUUUCCAUCUCACAGUAUUGCUUAACUUGUGCAACGGUCACAUUUUCCUUGUGNNNNNNNNNNNNNNNNNNNNNNNNNNNNNNNNNNNNNNNNNNNNNNNNNNNNNNNNNNNNNNNNNNNNNNNNNNNNNNNNNNNNNNNNNNNNNNNNNNNNCACGUAUUUUUGAGAGUCACUCCUGUGACUGGUGUUGGACGUGCAUUGAAGUCAAAGAAGUUGACUCCGAGGUUUAUUGGUCCGUAUCAGAUAUCAGAAAGAGUUGGAAUGGUGGCAUAUCGAGUGGGUUUACCACCGUAUCUUUCGAAUUUGCAUGAUGUGUUUCAUGUGUCGUAACUUCGGAAGUAUGUUCCGGAUCCAUCUCAUGUGAUCCAAAGUGAUGAUGUGCAAGUUAGAGAUAACCUUACGGUUGAGACUUUACCGGUGAGAAUUGAGGAUCGAAAAGUGAAGACGUUGAGAGGCAAAGAGAUACCUCUUGUGAAAGUCGUUUGGAACAGAGCGACUGGUGAAAGCUUAACGUGGGAGUUGGAGAGUAAGAUGCUGGAAUCUUAUCCAGAGUUGUUUGCAUGAGGUAAUUUUCGAGGACGAAAAUCUUAUAAGUUGGGGAGAGUUGUAACACCCGUUUUGAUUAUUUAAUUAUUUUGUUGAGUUUAGAAUAUAUUUAUAUGAUUUGUGUGAUUUAUGUGAUUUAAUGAGGUGUUGUGACUUAUUUUAUUGUUUAAUAAAAUAAGAUUCGAAAGGGAGAAAAGUCAAUAGAAGAGAAGAGGACCAAAGAGAGGCUGCGAUUUCGAUUUUCUAAGGUAAGGGUGAGACUAACAUUCAAUCCUAUUAAGUCUGUAAUUAUGAUUGUUGUAUUUAACAAGUGUAGGAUUUGUUUUAGAAAAGUUGAGAAUUAGGGUUAAAGUGAUAAAUUGAUGAUUAAUUGAUGUAGAAUUGUAUAAUUGAGGUAGAAAGUGUUUACAGACCUUAGAUAAUCCAUAAGAUGAUAUCUGGAAGCAAUGUUAAGCUUAAAACCAUGCCUUUAGGUGGAUUUUCGUGAAAACUACAAUUAUGUCGAGCCAACACUCAUCGCUCGCCUUCUGAGUGAUUACUGAUUAUCCUCGCCCUCGCGAGGGAUGAAGUUCAUCGCUCGCCUCGCGAGCAACUUUCAUUCGCCUUGCGAGCAACACCUUGCAGCUCGCCAUGGCGAGCAGAUCACUCGCCAUAGCGAGUAUGACCAGUGAGGAACCUGAUUUGUGAUUUAACUUAUUAAGUCAAACCUUCGAUGAUUUUGAGUGCAUGAAUAUGUAUAAUAAUGAUUAGGCAAGUUUUUAGAUUGAGAUUGAACAUGGGAAAGUUUAAAAAUGAAUUUUAGGGUGAAAAAUGUCAAAUUCCCGAGAGCACCCAGUUUCUUGUUCGCCAGGGCAAGUAGCUUAUUCGCCAAGGCGAAUGCCUUUUUCCUGAACUCGCCAUAGCGAGUAGAGGUUCUCGCCCCGCGAGCCCUUGUGAGACAGAACACCUUGUUAGGUUAAAUGUGACCUUUGUCGCACGAGUUGAUGUGAAUUGAUCAGGGGGUAAGAAACUAAGUUGUUUGUCUUACCGUUGUUACUUCAGUAAGCCUGAAUUAUAUGAUUUGAUGUUGAUAUUAAUGUGAUAUAAAUGUAUAUGCAUUACAUGAAUUAUAAAAGAUGUUUGAGAUGUUGUUGAUUUGCAUUUGAUAUUGUUAUAUCAUGAACUGUUUUAUGUACUGCCUAUGUUGCUGUUUGUUUAUUAACUAAGCUGCAUGAGUCGGUCUAAGAUGAAGGAUGUUGUUCCAAAUUAUUGGAUUUAUAUGAGAGGUUGGUGUUUCUAAGAUGUUAAGUUGUUGAGUCCAUGCAUACUCAUUCAUUGUUGAGGGCUUGAUGCCCUAGAGCCUUUGCUCAACACGUUGGGGGCUUGAUGCCAUGGAGCUUUAGCUCAAUUAAGUUGAGGGCUUGAUGCCCUGGAAGUAUAUUAAUACUUAAUACGUUGAGGGCUUGAUGCCCUGGACUGGUACCACAUGCAUGAUUAAGAGGUCUAAGUUGCAUAGUCAAGUUGAAGUCGCAUUGUCGAGUCAAGUUGUUAAGUUGUCAAGUUGAUUAAAGUUGCGAUUUCUAUACAUGAGCUGUUAAUGAAGUGCUAUAUGAUUAUUUACUAUCUAUGAUGAAAAUUAUGAUAUUGUUAUGUUGUUAAAUAUAAUUGUUGAAUUAUAUGCUUAAUAUUAUUGUUUUAUGAAAUCUCACCCCUUCUGCUUGGAUAUGUUGCUCUUCGUAUGAGUAACUUGCAGGUGAUCGAGAAUAAGUAGCUGUUGAUUGCUGUCGUGUGUGGCUAUCUCUCACUGUGUCUUUAGGUGCUCUGAUACGUAAUGGGAUGAGAACUUUUGUGGCUAUUUUCUAUUCCUUACGUAUUUGAUUAUGAAUUUACAUGAUUAAGUUGUUAAUUAGAUUUUUAUAAGAUGUUUUGAUGAGACCUUCGUGCCAAAACUAUUUAUGUUGUUGAAUUAAAUCCGCUGCGAAGUUUUGAAUAAUUAUGUUGAAGGAUAAAUUGUUAUUUAUUCCAUUUAUGAUUUUCAAGAAGUGCAGCAUUCCGUUUAUGUGAUGAAUACUCUGAAAUUUAUUAUGAAAUUUUUAUGUUGGGAAAACGGGGUGUUACACUCCAUCUUAUAUCAACUUUGUUUUAUUUGCUACUACAUGUACACCUUACAUUUUAUAUUCUAAUUUAGAGCUACUCAAUUAUAAUUUGACUCAAAUUAAUUUACUUGUGAAUACGUUAUUUUUUAAUCUCCUGUUUAAAAAUCUAAGGCUUAAUUGCACUUUUCCCCCCUAUAGUUUGUCAAUUGUGCGAUUUUGCCCCCUUUCUGAUUUUAUGGUCCCCAUGACAUUUAAUGCUGAUGUGUCUGUUUUUUAUCAAUUAAUAUGUGCCACGUGUGUAAUUCCAUUUUUUAAAAAAUAAAAAAAUGGUAUUUUUUAGAUUUUUUGGUAGCUUUGAGUUGUGUGUGCCACAUGCCUCAUUCUCUCAAAAUCUGAAAAAUACCAUUUUUUUUAUUUUUAAAAAAAUGGAAUUACACACGUGGCACACAUUAAUUGAUAAAAAACAGACGCAUCAGCACUAAAUGUCAUGGGGACCAUAAAAUCAGAAAGGGGGAAAACUAUAGGGGGCAAAAUCGCUCAUUUAAAACUAUGGGGUGCAAAAUCGCACAAUUGACAAACUAUAGGGGGAAAAGUGCAAUUAAGCCAAAAUCUAAUUGGUUCAGCUCAUUCUCAAUAAAUUUUUAAAUUUGACAACAUAGACAUGUUGAAAUUUGGACAAAAAAAUAUAUAUGAUGUAAAUACUACAUUAUUUAUAAAGAAAUAAAUUUAGUUUGUAUCUAACUUUGUAAUAUUAAUCCCUUCCUCAAAGCUUUGUAAUAUUAAUUAGGGCUAAAUAAAUUUUUGGUCCUUAUAAAUAUAGCGAAUUUUGUUUUUAGUUCUUCUAAAAAAAUGACAUGUUUUUGUCCCUCCAAAAUAUUUUAGUCCCCAUUAAAUUAAAAUUAAAACUAAUAUAUUAUAAAUAAAUAUGACUAUAAUUGAAAUAUAAAAAUGCAAGGUGUACAGCUAAUACCAAAUAAAACAAAAUUGAUCUAAGAUGGGGCAAUUUGACAAUUGCCCCAUACUAAAACUCGCCUUCCUCCAAAUCAAGAAGAAAGAAACAAAUUCAAAACGACAGUUAUUGGGUUUAGAGAGUGAAAAAAGGAAGAAUAUUGAUUGACUGGGAUGUGUCAAUUGUUGGAAAAUAUUUUAUUUGAUUUUUCCUAUUUUUAACACUAUACAUCGUCUUAAGUGUUUUUUUUUUAUUCAAAAAACACUUAAGACGAUGUGUCUAAUUUGAUGAUUUUAAUUGGUUGAUAGUGUAAAGUUGUUUUACACUAUCAAUUUAUUCUAAUUAAUCUCUUUGUAAAUACUCUUCCUCCAUGGUUGUUAUAAGAAACAUUCUAAUUUUUAGAUUUAUUGAAUAAUUGAUUUUUUUUUUUUUUUUUUACAAAAGCAAACUGAUAUUUAUUUAUUUAAAUUGAUAAAAUACAUUAGAUAUAAUAACAUGAUCAACAUUGCUAAAAACGUAAAACGUGAAUCUGUGAGCAAACUCACAACAUCCAAGUCAUUAGCAUGCAAAGGCAAAAUAUCUACAAAUAAUAUGAUAAAAUUUAAAUCACAAAAAUACUCAUGCUUCCGUAUCUAUAACGUUAACACUCAAAUCAUUGGUUAAAUAUCUGACUAAUUGAAGUUGAUAUUUCAAUAGGAGGAACAAAAUAAACACCGCAAUAAGAUGUGAAAUCAAACAACGACGAACACCACAAUGCCGCACUCGAACAACGAAAUAACGAAAAAACACAAGAAAAAACUCGAUAUACUUGGAGUUGGAAUCCUCUCCAUUUAGAAUCUUAUUCAUUUCUUCAAUUUGGAAAAAUAAAGACACACUAAAGCUUUAAAAUAAUUAAUGAUGGAUCCACCAUAUAUUUUAGGCUUAAAUAUGGAAAUGGUCCCUGCAAAUAUCUGGCGUAUUGGUUUUAGUCCUUAUAUAUAUAUUUUUUUGGUUUUAGUCCCUGCAAAUAUAGAAUAUUUGGUUUNAGGAAGCAAUGGUGCAGUGAAAGACUGAGGCGGGGCUCAGGUUGAUCUACUGGAAGCAAAAUAUGAUGCUUUUGGAUUUGAGAAUUGUUGUUCCCAUAUUUAAUAAGGCUUUGGCACACGAGUAAUUUACUUUUUCGCCUCUUCGGCAAUAAUCCCUUUAGCAGCUAUUGUCGAGGAAUUAGAAAUUUCCGGCUGCAGUUAACUGUCAAGGAAAACCUCGGGAGUUAACUGCCGAGGAAAACAAGCACAGUGAGUUUUGCAUGAUUCUUUCUACAACAUUUUCAAGCCAUUUUUCGGCCAGUUUUUACCUGUAAUUAAAGCACAACAUUUUGAAAGGCAAAAUAAUUCAUACAACAUUGAAACUCUGACAUAAACAAAAAAAAACACAAUAUUUUUUACAAUUGUCCAUAUUUAAAUUAAACCGACAUUUGGUUCAAAUUACACAAACGUUUGAAAUUCAAAUCACAAAAAAAAUAUUGGCGCAAAUGCACAACUUAAUUAAACCAACAUUUUUAUACAUUAAACAAAGUUAAAAAUCUCAUGGAAUUAAAAGUAAUGUCAUCAAAGUACAAAUAUACAAAUCAAUGUCAUGAAAACACCAAAACUAAAAAAACAAGUCCUAAAAAACAAAAUACUACUAUUGGUCCUGGUCCUGCUGAUGAUGCAUCCUCCUCGGCCUCUAGCCUCGCCUCCUGGUCAAAAUCGGUGCGAUCUGCUCCCUCAUAUGGCUCAUGGCCUGAAACCACAGCUGAGGGGGUCAUGCUCAUGACCUCCUCCUGACCUAACUGCGCAGCAGCGUAGGCAACAGCGCCACAAACCAUGUCAUAGGUGUCAGGCGAGCUUCUCGCCUCAUACCGCUCCCACUGUUGUGCAAUGAUCUGCUCUUCAUUUGCUGGCCUCGGAAGAUCUCCUGGAAGAGGUUGCAAGAUCUGAGGGUGAGACACCCUGGUGUACCAUAGCACAUAGUCAUCUGCCAUCCGCCAUGUCUGCUCUCCUGCCUGCUCACCCCAAUCCGCCAUGUCCUUGUCUAUUGAGAAUCAAGCAGUGAUUGAUAAGUUACAGGUGGUAUGCAAUUUUCCCGAAGUUUUUCCUGAUGAAAUUCCAGAUGUGCCUCCAGAGAGAGAAGUUGAAUUUUCAAUUGACCUUAUUCCGGGUACGAAGCCUGUGUCUAUGACACCUUACCGUAUGUCAGUUUCUGAGUUGGCUGAGUUGAAGAAACAGUUAGAAGAUUUGCUUGAUAAGAAGUUUGUAAGACCAAGUGUUUCACCGUGGGGAGCGCACGUUUUGUUAGUAAAGAAGAAAGAUGGUAGUAUGAGAUUGUGUAUUGACUGUCGGUAGUUGAACAAAAUGUUGAUAAAGAAUAGGUAUCCACUUCCGAGAAUUGAUGACUUGAUGGAUCAGUUAGUGGGUGCACGUGUGUUUAACAAGAUUGAUUUGAGAUCGGGUUAUCACCAGAUUAAAGUGAAAGAUGAAGAUAUGCAGAAGACAACUUUUAGAACGCGAUAUGGACAUUAUGAGUAUAAAGUGAUGCCUUUCGGUGUUACAAAUGCCCCUGGAGUGUUUAUGGAGUACAUGAAUCACAUUUUUCAUGCAUUUUUUGAUCGUUUCGUGGUUGUUUUCAUUGAUGACAUUUUGAUUUACUCCAAGACUGAGGAAGAACAUGUUGAGCAUUUGAAGACUGUUUUGCAAGUGUUGAAAGAGAAGAAACUUUAUGCUAAAUUAUCAAAGUGUGAAUUCUGGUUGAAAGAGGUGAGUUUUCUUGGACAUGUUAUUUCUGGUAGUGGUAUUGCAGUAGAUCCCUCUAAAGUUGAUGCAGUAUCGCAAUGGGAGACUCCUAAGUCGGUUACAGAGAUUAGAAGCUUUUUGGGAUUGGCUGGUUAUUACCGAAGAUAUAUAAAAGGAUUUUCCAAGUUGGCACUUCCGUUAACGCAGUUGACUUGUAAAGGUAAAGCCUUUGCGUGGGAUGUUCAAUGUGAGAACAGUUUUAGUGAAUUGAAGAAGCGGUUGACGACAGCUCCGGUUUUGAUUUUACCAAAUUCCGAUGAACCUUUUGUGGUAUAUUGUGAUGCGUCCAAGUUGUGCUUAUGCAAGAUGGCAAAGUAGUGGCUUAUGCGUCGAGACAGUUGAGAAUUCAUGAGCGGAAUUGCCCUACGCACGAUUUAGAGUUACUGCAGUGGUCUUUGUACUUAAAAUAUGGAGACAUUACUUGUAUGGUUCGAGAUUUGAAGUGUUCAGCGAUCACAAGAGUCUGAAAUAUCUGCUUGAUGGUAAAAGAAUUUGAGUGGUUGGAACAGUUUAGAGAUUUGAGUUUAGUAUGUGAAUUGUCACCUCAGAGUGUGAAGCUAAGAAUGCUGAAGAUUGAUAGUGAAUUUCUGAAAAGUAUUAAGGAAGCAGAGAAAGUUGAUGUUAAGUUUGUAGACUUGUUGGUUACUAGUAAUCAGACUGAAGACAGAUAUUUUAAAAUCGAUGAUCAAGGUGUGUUGAGGUUUCGAGGUAGAAUUUGUAUUCCAUACAAUGAUGAGAUGAAGAAAAUGAUUCUUGAAGAGAGUCAUAAAAGUAGCUUGAGUAUUCAUCCGGGAGCUACGAAGAUGUAUCAUGAUUUGAAAAAGUUGUUUUGGUGGUCUGGAUUGAAACGUGAUGUGGCACAGUUUGUGUAUUCCUGUUUGAUUUGUCAAAAGUCGAAAGUUGAGCAUCAGAAACCUGCUGGGAUUAUGGUAUCUUUAGAUGUACCAGAGUGGAAAUGGGAUAGUAUAUCCAUGGAUUUUGUGACGAGUUUGCCGAAUACUCCUAGAGGAAAUGACGCGAUUUGGGUGAUUGUUGAUAGAUUGACGAAGUUGGCUCAUUUCAUCCCGAUUAAUAUCAGUUUUCUUGUUUCUCAGUUGGCAGAGAUUUAUAUUUGUGAUAUUGUGAAAUUGCAUGGUGUUCCUUCGAGCAUUGUAUCAGAUAGAGAUCCAAGAUUUACUUCUAGAUUUUGGAAGAGUUUGCAAGAGGCUUUAGGUUCUAAGUUGAGGUUGAGUUCGGCGUAUCAUCCGCAGACAGAUGGUCAGUCGGAAAGAACGAUUCAGUCGUUAGAGGAUUUGUUGAGGGUUUGUGUACUUGAGCAAGGAGGAAAUUGGGAUAGUCAUCUUCCAUUGAUAGAGUUCACGUACAAUAAUAGUUAUCAUUCUAGUAUUGGAAUUGCACCUUUUGAGGCUUUGUAUGGUCGGAGAUGCAGAACUCCGUUGUGUUGGUUUGAGUCAGGUGAAAGUGUGGUUUUAGGACCUGAGAUUGUUCAAUAAACUACUGAGAAGGUUAAGAUGAUUCAACAAAAGAUGAAGGCGUCGCAGAGUCGACAAAAGAGUUAUCAUGAUAAGCGUAGGAAAGACCUUGAGUUUCAAGAGGAAGAUCACGUAUUUUUGAGAGUCACUCCUGUGACUGGUGUUGGACGUGCAUUGAAGUCAAAGAAGUUGACUCCGAGGUUUAUUGGUCCGUAUCAGAUAUCAGAAAGAGUUGGAAUGGUGGCAUAUCGAGUGGGUUUACCACCGUAUCUUUCGAAUUUGCAUGAUGUGUUUCAUGUGUCGUAACUUCGGAAGUAUGUUCCGGAUCCAUCUCAUGUGAUCCAAAGUGAUGAUGUGCAAGUUAGAGAUAACCUUACGGUUGAGACUUUACCGGUGAGAAUUGAGGAUCGAAAAGUGAAGACGUUGAGAGGCAAAGAGAUACCUCUUGUGAAAGUCGUUUGGAACAGAGCGACUGGUGAAAGCUUAACGUGGGAGUUGGAGAGUAAGAUGCUGGAAUCUUAUCCAGAGUUGUUUGCAUGAGGUAAUUUUCGAGGACGAAAAUCUUAUAAGUUGGGGAGAGUUGUAACACCCGUUUUGAUUAUUUAAUUAUUUUGUUGAGUUUAGAAUAUAUUUAUAUGAUUUGUGUGAUUUAUGUGAUUUAAUGAGGUGUUGUGACUUAUUUUAUUGUUUAAUAAAAUAAGAUUCGAAAGGGAGAAAAGUCAAUAGAAGAGAAGAGGACCAAAGAGAGGCUGCGAUUUCGAUUUUCUAAGGUAAGGGUGAGACUAACAUUCAAUCCUAUUAAGUCUGUAAUUAUGAUUGUUGUAUUUAACAAGUGUAGGAUUUGUUUUAGAAAAGUUGAGAAUUAGGGUUAAAGUGAUAAAUUGAUGAUUAAUUGAUGUAGAAUUGUAUAAUUGAGGUAGAAAGUGUUUACAGACCUUAGAUAAUCCAUAAGAUGAUAUCUGGAAGCAAUGUUAAGCUUAAAACCAUGCCUUUAGGUGGAUUUUCGUGAAAACUACAAUUAUGUCGAGCCAACACUCAUCGCUCGCCUUCUGAGUGAUUACUGAUUAUCCUCGCCCUCGCGAGGGAUGAAGUUCAUCGCUCGCCUCGCGAGCAACUUUCAUUCGCCUUGCGAGCAACACCUUGCAGCUCGCCAUGGCGAGCAGAUCACUCGCCAUAGCGAGUAUGACCAGUGAGGAACCUGAUUUGUGAUUUAACUUAUUAAGUCAAACCUUCGAUGAUUUUGAGUGCAUGAAUAUGUAUAAUAAUGAUUAGGCAAGUUUUUAGAUUGAGAUUGAACAUGGGAAAGUUUAAAAAUGAAUUUUAGGGUGAAAAAUGUCAAAUUCCCGAGAGCACCCAGUUUCUUGUUCGCCAGGGCAAGUAGCUUAUUCGCCAAGGCGAAUGCCUUUUUCCUGAACUCGCCAUAGCGAGUAGAGGUUCUCGCCCCGCGAGCCCUUGUGAGACAGAACACCUUGUUAGGUUAAAUGUGACCUUUGUCGCACGAGUUGAUGUGAAUUGAUCAGGGGGUAAGAAACUAAGUUGUUUGUCUUACCGUUGUUACUUCAGUAAGCCUGAAUUAUAUGAUUUGAUGUUGAUAUUAAUGUGAUAUAAAUGUAUAUGCAUUACAUGAAUUAUAAAAGAUGUUUGAGAUGUUGUUGAUUUGCAUUUGAUAUUGUUAUAUCAUGAACUGUUUUAUGUACUGCCUAUGUUGCUGUUUGUUUAUUAACUAAGCUGCAUGAGUCGGUCUAAGAUGAAGGAUGUUGUUCCAAAUUAUUGGAUUUAUAUGAGAGGUUGGUGUUUCUAAGAUGUUAAGUUGUUGAGUCCAUGCAUACUCAUUCAUUGUUGAGGGCUUGAUGCCCUAGAGCCUUUGCUCAACACGUUGGGGGCUUGAUGCCAUGGAGCUUUAGCUCAAUUAAGUUGAGGGCUUGAUGCCCUGGAAGUAUAUUAAUACUUAAUACGUUGAGGGCUUGAUGCCCUGGAUUGGUACCACAUGCAUGAUUAAGAGGUCUAAGUUGCAUAGUCAAGUUGAAGUCGCAUUGUCGAGUCAAGUUGUUAAGUUGUCAAGUUGAUUAAAGUUGCGAUUUCUAUACAUGAGCUGUUAAUGAAGUGCUAUAUGAUUAUUUACUAUCUAUGAUGAAAAUUAUGAUAUUGUUAUGUUGUUAAAUAUAAUUGUUGAAUUAUAUGCUUAAUAUUAUUGUUUUAUGAAAUCUCACCCCUUCUGCUUGGAAAUGUUGCUCUUCGUAUGAGUAACUUGCAGGUGAUCGAGAAUAAGUAGCUGUUGAUUGCUGUCGUGGGUGGCUAUCUCUCACUGUGUCUUUAGGUGCUCUGAUACGUAAUGGGAUGAGAACUUUUGUGGCUAUUUUCUAUUCCUUACGUAUUUGAUUAUGAAUUUACAUGAUUAAGUUGUUAAUUAGAUUUUUAUAAGAUGUUUUGAUGAGACCUUCGUG
rnacentral:lncRNA from 1 species